GGGGGUGUAAAGGUUUCGACAGGGGUUGUGAGCCUUGGUAAGCGAGUAGUGGUGCGGAGCCACUAUAAAAGCCGUAUUUUUAAAUAAUAAACGACAACAAUAAAGUUGCAUUAGCUGCCUAAGUUGCAGCUCGUCACUCCGGGAAGCACCACGGUCCCUUUAGUGGCGUCGAUUAGUGGUAAAUGUGAACAGGGUAUUGCCUUGAACCUUGUCAUAAAUUAAAGGCUACCGUAGCACAAAGCCUGUUGGUGGGCGUUGUGCGAGGGGAAUCCUAAUACAUUAACUACACUCGUAGAAAGCCUUGUCAAACGACUUUUGGACAGGAGUUCGACUCUCCUCACCUCCACCA
rfam:Clostridium sp. CAG:964 genomic scaffold, scf156